rnacentral:rRNA from 1 species
AUUGAACGCUGGCGGCAGGCCUAACACAUGCAAGUCGAGCGAGCGGCGGACGGUUGAGUACUGUAUGGGGACUGCCCGAUCGCGGGGGAUAACUACUGGAAACGGUAGCUAAUACCGCAUACUAUCGGCUACCCCAUCUGGGAUUAGCUAGUAGGGGAGGUAAUGGCUCACCUAGGCGACGAUCCCUAGCUGGUCUGAGAGGAUGAUCAGCCACACUGGGACUGAGACACGGCCCAGACUCCUACGGAGGCAGCAGUGGGGAAUAUUGCACAAUGGGCGCAAGCCUGAUGCAGCCAUGCCGCGUGUAUGAAGAAGGCCCUAGGGUUGUAAAGUACUGUCAGUCGGGAGGCGUUACCGACAGAAGAAGCACCGGCUAACUCCGUGCCAGCCGCCGCGGUAAUAC